GACGAACGCUGGCGGUGUGCUUCACACAUGCAAGUCGAACGAGGUAGCAAUACCUAGUGGCGGACGGGUGAGUAACGCGUGGGAAUCUGCCCAUAGGUGGGGGAUAACUAGCCGAAAGGUUAGCUAAUACCGCAUAUGCCGAAAGGUAAAAGGAGUAAUCCGCCUUUGGAUGAGCCCGCGUCCGAUUAGCUAGUUGGUAGAGUAAAAGCCUACCAAGGCGACGAUCGGUAGCUGGUCUGAGAGGAUGAUCAGCCACAAUGGGACUGAGACACGGCCCAUACUCCUACGGGAGGCAGCAGUGGGGGAAUUUUACGCAAUGGGGGGAAACCCUGACGUAGCGACACCGCGUGAAUGAAGAAGCCCUUUGGGGUGUAAAAUUCUGUCGGCUGGGAAGAAAAAAUGACGGUACCAGCAAAGGAAGUAUCGGCUAACUACGUGCCAGCAGCCGCGGUAAU
rnacentral:rRNA from 1 species